CCUACGGGGGGCAGCAGUCGAGAAUCUUCGGCAAUGGGCGCAAGCCUGACCGAGCGAUGCCGCGUGCGGGAUGAAGGCCCUCGGGUUGUAAACCGCUGUCGAGGGGGAUGAAAUUGCGGUGGGUUCUCCCAUCGUAUUGACAGAUCCCUGGAGGAAGGGUGGGCUAAGUUCGUGCCCGCAGCCGCGGUAAGACGAACCACCCAAACAUUAUUCGGACUUACUGGGCUCGAAGAGUGCGCAGCAAGUAAGGUGUGAAAUCCCACAGCUCAACUGUGGAACUGCGCUUUAAACUGCCGGGCUAGAGGGAUAUAGAGGUGAGAAGAACAGAUGGUGGAGCGGUGAAAUGCGUUGAUAUCAUCUGGAAUACCGGAGGCGAAGGCGGCUCACUGGGUAUCUUCUGACGCUGAGGUACGAAAGCCAGGGUAGCGAACGGGAUUAGAUACCGUAGUC
rnacentral:rRNA from 1 species